AGCAGAACCUAAAUCACAACCAGAAAAGCCAGCUCCAAAAGUAACUACAAGAGAGGCACUUCCGAAACCUAAAGAAAUUGUGAAAAGUAAGGAAAAACCACCUUCGAGAAAAGAAGUGUCCCAGGAUAAAAAGGUGGAAGUGUCGUUUAGAGCUUAUGAUUAUACAUCAUCGGCAGUCCAGAAGGUGUCAAAAGAUCCGUUGAAACACAUAGGUCAUAAACAACAAAUAAAACUAACUUUACUUAAUAAGGGCCCUCCUGAAAAGACUACUACUAUAUCUAAACGAGAAGAAACUAAACAGAAAAAUGGAGAAAAGGAUAAUAUAAAAGCCACAGCUCGAACAGCGACUGGAAAUUUCCAACAGCCAAGUGGCAGUCGAAAACGUCCUGCAUCUCCACCUCAACAAGCAACACCUCCUAAGCCAAGUUCAAGUAAUACACUUCUUGAUGACAAGAAAUCCACAAGUUCCCGAAGAGAAGAGCUGUUAAAACAAUUGAAGGCUGUGGAAGAUGCAAUAGCAAGAAAACGAUCAAAGCUGAGCUAGGGAACUUAAAUUGGAAUGGUGAAGGUUUAUCAAAUGUAACUUAAUAUUGCCUGUUGGUCAAAGUAAUAUGGCCUUCUCACCCAUUUUGUGUACUUCAAAAUAGCUUUGUGUGGUAAAAUUUCAAAAUGUUAUUAAUUGUAAUAUCAUGUGCAUCAGUUGCUUUUUCUUUGUUUAAUGGCUUACCAACUAUAGUUCUGCUGUGAUCUUUAGUAAAUUCUUGAAGUGUUAUUAGCAUUUCUUCUUUCAUGGUUUGUAUGUGAUACAUACUUUUAGACUUAACAACUACUUUAGAAAUCCAAGUGCAUGCUGCCCCUUUUAAUUAAAUUUUGUACUUAGCCAUUGAGUAGUAGAGUGUAAGGGAAUGCUCAUUUGGUGGAGUUCAGAAGAAGCUCAAGAUAAAUCCUUCACAGUUCCAGACAUCCUGCUUAAAAUACAGGAUUUAUUCUCCAUAUUAUGUAGAUUAUUAAUACUGAAGAGCUUGGGGAAAUGCUCGUUUUUUUGUUGUUUUUUUUGCAGUGAGGAAAAUAUUUGUAAAGUAUCUUGAUUCUGAAUAGUUUAUGUUGACUUUUGCAUUAUCUUACUGUAUGAUUAACGAAUAGGAAGCUGUUGGAGUGUAACCAACUAUAAUUGCUUUUGGGAGCCAUUUUGGGCCUGAUGUUGUAUAUAUGAGAUAUCAAUGUAUUUGGAACAUUUUUUUUCUUCUCAAUUAUUAAAAUAUCUUAGUUUUUGAAAA